CGCGAGGCAGAGCAAACCCCUAAAAGCCAUCCCAGUUCGGAUUGCAGGUUGCAACCCGCCUGUAUGAAGUUGGAAUCGCUAGUAAUCGCGGAUCAGCAUGCCGCGGUGAAUACGUUCCCGGGCCUUGUACACACCGCCCGUCAAGCCAUGGGAGCCGGGGGUGCCUGAAGUACGUGACCGCGAGGAGCGUCCUAGGGCAAAACUGGUGACUGGGGCUAAGUCGUAACAAGGUACC
rnacentral:rRNA from 1 species